GCUGCCUCACCUGCACAACAGGGCGUCGGGCAGCAGCCACGAUCCUUUCCCUGUAAAGGCAACUACAGAGAGCUCAGCAGAAUCCUGCUUAUCUAUGAAGUGCAGUUAACACAUCAGCUGGACCUAUUUCCGGAAUGCAGGGUGACCCUUCUGUUAUUUAAAGAUGUAAAAAAUGCUGGAGACUUGAGAAAAAAGGCCAUGGAAGGUGCUAUUGAUAGUUCAUUGAUAAACCCUACAGUGAUUGUCGAUCCAUUUCAGAGACUUGUGGCAGCAAACAAAGCAGCUCAUCUCUACAAACUAGGAAAAAUGAAGACAAGAACUCUAUCUACUGGAAUUAUUUUCAACCUGUCCCCAAAUAACAAUAUUUCAGAGGCUUUGAAAAAAUUCGGUAUCUCAGCAAAUGACACUUCAGUUCUAAUUGUUUACAUUGAAGAUGGAGAAAAACAAAUAGAUAAAGAAGACCUGAUAGCUAAGGUAGAAGGUCAGCAAGUUUCCCUGAAAAAUCUUCCUGAAAUAACAAAUAUUACAGAAGUCAAAAAGAUAUAUAAACUAUCUUCACAAGAAGAAAGGAUUGGGACAUUAUUGGAUGCUGUCAUUUGUAGAAUGUCAACAAAAGAUGUUUUGUGAAAUGUCAGAAACAUUAAAAAUGUUCAGCAUUUAU